rnacentral:rRNA from 1 species
CGCAAGCCUGACGCAGCAACGCCGCGUGAGUGAAGAAGGCCUUCGGGUUGUAAAGCUCUUUCUGUGGGGACGAAGCUGGACGGUUCCCCUGAAGGAAGCCCCGGCUAACUCCCUGCCAGCAGCCGCGGUAAAACUUAGGGGGCGAGCGUUGUCCGGAAUUACUGGGCGUAAAGGGCGUGUAAGCGGCUGUGUAAGUCAGGUGUGAAAGGCCGCGGCUCAACCGCGGGUAUGCCCCUGAAACCGAAGGGCUUGAUGGCAGGAGAGGGGAGUGGAAUUCCCGGUGGAGCGGUGAAAUGCGUAUAUAUUGGGAGGAACACCAGUGGCGAAGGCGGCUUCCUGGACUGUUCCUGACGCUCAGGCGCGAAAGCUUGGGGAGCAAACGGGAUUAGAUACCCUGGUAGUCCCCGCCGUAAACGAUGGGUGCUAGGUGUUGGAGGUAUCUACCCCUUCAGUGCCGCAGUUAACUUAAUACGCACCCGGCCUGGGUAGUACGGCCGCAAGGUUGA